UGGAUAAUGGUGUAACGGUAACACUACUGGUUUUGGUCCAGUCAUUAUAGGUUCGAAUCCUAUUUAUCCAUCA
rnacentral:tRNA from 1 species